GAUGAACGCUGGCGGCGUGCCUAAUACAUGCAAGUCGAGCGAACGGACGAGAAGCUUGCUUCUCUGAUGUUAGCGGCGGACGGGUGAGUAACACGUGGAUAACCUACCUAUAAGACUGGGAUAACUUCGGGAAACCGGAGCUAAUACCGGAUAAUAUAUUGAACCGCAUGGUUCAAAAGUGAAAGACGGUUUUGCUGUCACUUAUAGAUGGAUCCGCGCUGCAUUAGCUAGUUGGUAAGGUAACGGCUUACCAAGGCAACGAUGCAUAGCCGACCUGAGAGGGUGAUCGGCCACACUGGAACUGAGACACGGUCCAGACUCCUACGGGAGGCAGCAGUAGGGAAUCUUCCGCAAUGGGCGAAAGCCUGACGGAGCAACGCCGCGUGAGUGAUGAAGGUCUUCGGAUCGUAAAACUCUGUUAUUAGGGAAGAACAUAUGUGUAAGUAACUGUGCACAUCUUGACGGUACCUAAUCAGAAAGCCACGGCUAACUACGUG
rnacentral:rRNA from 1 species